rnacentral:rRNA from 1 species
UACGUAGGGUGCGAGCGUUGUCCGGAAUUAUUGGCGUAAAGGGCUCGUAGGCGGUUUGUCGCGUCGGGAGUGAAACCUUGGGCUUAACUCAGGGCUUGCUUUCGAUACGGGCAGACUAGAGGUAUGCAGGGGAGAACGGAAUUCCUGGUGUAGCGGUGAAAAUGCGUAGAUAUCUGGAGGAAUACCGGUGGCGAAGGCGGCAUCCUGGACCGGCAUUGACGCUGAUGAGCGAAAGCUAGGGGAGCAAACGGG